GUCCACGCCGUAACGAUGAAUGCCAGUCGUCGGGCAGCAUGCUGUUCGGUGACACACCUAACGGAUUAAGCAUUCCGCCUGGGAGUACGGCCGCAAGGUUAAACUCAAAGGAAUUGACGGGGCCCGCACAAGCGGUGGAGCAUGUGGUUUAAUUCGAAGCAACGCGCAGAACCUUACCAACCCUUGACAUGGGUAUCGCGGGGCCAGAGAUGGUCCUUUCAGUUCGGCUGGAUACCACACAGGUGCUGCAUGGCUGUCGU
rnacentral:rRNA from 1 species